GACGAACGCUGGCGGCGUGCCUAAUACAUGCAAGUAGAACGCAGUUGCGAACGGGGGAGUAACGCGUAGGUAACUGCCCCAUAGCGGGGGAUAACUAUUGGAAACGAUAGCUAAUACCGCAUACUGUGAGAUGGACCUGCGUUGUAUUAGCUAGUUGGUGAGGUAAAGGCUCACCAAGGCGACGAUACAUAGCCGACCUGAGAGGGUGGUCGGCCACCCUGGGAACGGGAAACGGCCCCGACUCCUGCGGGAGGCAGGAGUAGGGAAUCUUCGCGAAUGGACCGAAGUCUGACCGAACAACGCCGCGUGAGUGAAGUAGGUUUUUGGAUCGUAAAGCUCUGUUGUGAGAGAAGCGGUAACUGACCAGAAAGGGACGGCUAACUACGUGCCAGCAGCCGCGGUAAUUC
rnacentral:rRNA from 1 species